UAAUCCUCUUGCCAUAUGAUGCUUCCUCCUUGCCAAUGACUUUGCGGGACGGGAUAUUGGGAGAAAUGCAAAAAAGCGCAUAGAGCCAUGAUCGUCCCACCUCUCGCUUCCUCUCGUGUCUGCGUCAUUUCGUCUGCUGGUGCGCUGCUGCAGAUGCAAAGCGCGAGGAUUCGCACGGCGCGUAGGAUCUUUAGUACUUGGCAAAUGCGCCUUGACACUGAUCAUCUUGUCCUAUUCCCCGCUCGCGAAAAGAAAUCAUGGUAAAUAGCUGAAGGAUACGACUCGUCGGAAGCCGGUUCGUGAUCCGAGGAAUACGAAAUCGCAAAGUAGUACGUAGUGAGCGGUGAAUAAGCUGGGGGCGAGGCAUAAUUCAUUGCCGAGGAAGAGAUGCAUAUGCCUGCUGCAUGG
rnacentral:sRNA from 1 species